rnacentral:rRNA from 1 species
AGUGAACGCUGGCGGUAGGCCUAACACAUGCAAGUCGAACGGCAGCACAGUAAGAGCUUGCUCUUACGGGUGGCGAGUGGCGGACGGGUGAGGAAUACAUCGGAAUCUGCUUUUUCGUGGGGGAUAACGUAGGGAAACUUACGCUAAUACCGCAUACGACCUACGGGUGAAAGCAGGGGAUCUUCGGACCUUGCGCGAUUGAAUGAGCCGAUGUCGGAUUAGCUAGUUGGCGGGGUAAAGGCCCACCAAGGCGACGAUCCGUAGCUGGUCUGAGAGGAUGAUCAGCCACACUGGAACUGAGACACUGUCCAGACUCCUACGGGAGGCAGCAGUGGGGAAUAUUGGACAAUGGGCGCAAGCCUGAUCCAGCCAUACCGCGUGGGUGAAGAAGGCCUUCGGGUUGUAAAGCCCUUUUGUUGGGAAAGAAAAGCAGCAGGUUAAUACCCCGCUGUUCUGACGGUACCCAAAGAAUAAGCACCGGCUAACUUCGUG